rnacentral:tRNA from 1 species
GGCGACGAAUCGGCGCACUGCAUUCACACUGCAGGGGUCGCAAGUUCGAAACUUGCACUUCCCACCA